GAUGAACGCUGGCGGCGUGCCUAAUACAUGCAAGUCGAGCGGACGGACGAGAAUCUUGCUUCUCUGAUGUUAGCGGCGGACGGGUGUGUAACGCGUGGAUACCCUCCCUAUAAGACUGGGAUAUCUUCGGGAAACCGGCGCUAAUACCGGAUGAUCUUUUGAUCCGCAUGGUUCAAAAGUGAAAUACGGUCUUGCUGUCUCUUAUAGCUGCAUCCGCGCUGCAUUAGCUAGUUGGUAAGGUAACGGCUUACCAAGGCAACGAUGCGUAGCCGAACUGAGAGAGGGAUCGGCCACACGGGAGCUGAGACGCGCACCAGAGUCCUAAGAGAGGCAGCAGUAGGGAACCUUCCGCAGUAGGCGAAAGCCUGGCGGAGCAACGCCGCGCGAGAGAUGAAGGUCUUCGGAUCGUAAAAAUCUGUUAUGAGGGAAGAACAUAUGUGUACGGAAAUGUGCACAGCGUGACGGUACUUAAUCAGAAAGCCACGGCUAACUACGUG
rnacentral:rRNA from 1 species